CGUCUUGGAUAACCCCCCCCCCCCUCUCUCUCUCUCUCUCUCUCUCUCUCUCUCUCAAUGCGGGUUUUCUUUCCAUCGAUGGGUAUUGGAUUCGAAGAGAUGGAGCGAUGGGUAUUGGAUUCGAAGAGAUGGAGCGAUGGGUAUUGGAAUCGAAGCGAGACGAUGGGUACUGGAUCACUGAUUGGGUGGUAUAAAAUUUUGUUUCAAUGUUCUAAUCCAAAGAGUUCGAUCAUCAAUUCUGGGUUAAUGGAUAGUGAAAAUUGUACUGGAUUGCUCUAUUGAAGAACAAAUGAGUCUGGAUUGCUCUAUUGAAGAACAAAUGAGUCUCUACUAUGCGUGUAGAAUUCGAUGUUUGUUCUGUGAUGGUUCAAUUUUGGUUUGCAAUUUGUGUAUCAAUGCUCUCAGAUUUAUUAGAGAUUUACAUGUAUUUUUGACAUCUUUGGGAUUUUGGUUGUUAUCUUUGCGGUUUUGGUUGUUAUCUUGUAAGAAUGUUGCAGUAAUCUGCAUAGCCAAUUGUAUUCAUUAUUUGCUACCGCAGCAAAAACAGA